CUUCAGCUGAUAAGUCCCAAAUAGGACGAAACGCGUGUUCUGGAU
rnacentral:hammerhead_ribozyme from 1 species